UACAUGGGGUGCAACCGUUGCUCGGAAUUAUUGGGCGUAAAGCGCACGUAGGCGGUCCGUUAAGUCGGAUGUGAAAGCCCCCGGCUCAACCGGGGAAGUGCAUCCGAAACUGGCAGGCUAGAGUACGAAAGAGGGUCGCGGAAUUCCCGGUGUAGAGGUGAAAUUCGUAGAUAUCUGGAGGAAUACCGGUGGCGAAGGCGGCAUCCUGGACCGACAUUGACGCCUGAUGAG
rnacentral:rRNA from 1 species